rnacentral:tRNA from 1 species
GUCCUCGUAGUUCAACGGAUAGAACAGGAGCCUUCUAAGCUCCGGAUGCGGGUUCGAUUCCUGCCGAGGACAC